GAUGAACGCUAGCGACAGGCUUAACACAUGCAAGUCGAGGGGCAGCACAGGUAGCAAUACCGGGUGGCGACCGGCGCACGGGUGAGUAACGCGUAUGCAACUUACCUAUCAGAGGGGGAUAACCCGGCGAAAGUCGGACUAAUACCGCAUGAAGCAGGGGUCCCGCAUGGGGAUAUUUGCUAAAGAUUCAUCGCUGAUAGAUAGGCAUGCGUUCCAUUAGGCAGUUGGCGGGGUAACGGCCCACCAAACCGACGAUGGAUAGGGGUUCUGAGAGGAAGGUCCCCCACAUUGGUACUGGGACACGGACCAAACUCCUACGGGAGGCAGCAGUGAGGAAUAUUGGACAAUGGACGAGAGGCUGAACCAGCCAAGUCGCGUGAGGGAUGAAGGUUCUAUGGAUCGUAAACCUCUUUUAUAAGGGAAUAAAGUGCGGGACGUGUCCCGUUUUGUAUGUACCUUAUGAAUAAGGAUCGGCUAACUCCGUG
rnacentral:rRNA from 1 species